rnacentral:lncRNA from 1 species
CUUGUUUGCUGUCCGAUCGCCGCCAGAUCUGAGCUGCAAAUCGCCGGACUCGAUCCGAUUACUCAGAUUCUGGAUCUUCUCGAGUUCCGAUACCAACCGAUUCUUGAGUUGCACCAAAUCUUUUCUCGAAUACGAGCCGAUGUUGAAGGUCACGUAUCUACCCCGAUUGAACUCAACAAUCGAUCUCUGAUUGAAGGAAGAAGCGUCAUCCGAUGCCGAUUGCGUCACAGCAGGCGAUAAAUCGUUGAUAUCACCUGCCGGCGCGUGGGUUUUCCGCUUCGAAUUGUUAGGGUUAGGGUUUGAAGAAUGGAAUUUUCCCAUGAAUCCUCCUCCGCCUCCGCCGC